AAUUACAUAUUGGAAAUUUAAAAGAAGUGGAAGGGAAAGGAAAAGAAAAGGAAAAUUAGGGAAGUUUAAGCUUGUGGAAGAUCUUGGGAAGGUUGUAGACCCAAAGAGCAGUAGAUCAAGAUCUGCAUCAACCUAGCCAGAGUUACAUCAUUAUCUAUCUUGGGGGUAUAUUUUGUAAAUUUUAUAUAAAGUUGAUUUUGAAAAUUUGGCAUGUACAUAAAGUUUUAGAGAUAAAGUUGAAUAUGGAUUGAAUGGAUAUAGUUAAAUAUUUUAAUUUUGGUGUAAAUGGGGAUGAUUAGUAUAAGUUUCUGUGUUGAGAUUAAUGAAAUGUUAUGAAGUGUUUAAUCUGAAUUGAAAUUGUGUUGAUGUUGAAAGAA